AGGAGGCCGGAGGCCGAAGAGGCCGCAGAGUGAAUGUAAGAGGGAAGCGCAGGCGGAUGCGAAGGCGGAGCCGAUUGAUCCGAAAAGGGUUAAGAGGAUAUUAGCGAAUAGGCAGUCGGCGCAGCGCUCGAGGGUGCGGAAGUUGCAGUACAUAUCGGAGCUUGAACGCAGCGUAACUACAUUGCAGACGGAGGUAUCGGCAUUGUCGCCUCGAGUGGCGUACCUAGAUCACCAGCGGUCGGUGCUCACCGUCGGCAAUAGCCAUCUCAAGCAAAGGAUUGCUGCGCUAGCGCAAGACAGAAUUUUCAAAGACGCUCAUCAGGAAGCACUGAAGAGGGAAAUUGAGAGAUUAAGACAAGUCUACCAACAACAAAAUCAAAACAAGUCUUCUUCCACAAGUGAUUAGGCCUUAACAAGGUCCAAAAUGGAGGUUUAUCAAUUGUGAUUAUUCGUGCGAUUGUGUGCAGUGUUUAAGGUAGAGAUUUGGUUGUAUUUUCUGUGUAUUCUUCUCCAAGUUGUCUAUUCGUUCUCUAACAAAAGAAUAUAUAUAUAUAUAUAUAUAUGAGAAAAAUGGGUAUGUUUGAUACCAAACACAAAUUUGGUGCUUGGUAGUGAAGUAUCUCAUUCUCAUCCACUCAUUGUCAUUCCCAACAACUCCCCAACCCAUAUGAGUGUGGGCUCCGAUAUCAAUGAGUGGAGGGGAACGUAACACCUCACUAUCAAGCAUCAUUUUUUUUGCUUUGUACCAAGCAUACACAUUUAUAUAUAUAUAUAGACAUGUUCCGGGUGUGGAAAGAUGUGCAGCGGUCCGGUGUUAAAGAUAGGUGUUGUUUAAUUUUGUGGGUCCAAAUUAUUGUAUCGUGUCUGUGAUUUUUUGUUGCCACAGAUUGGUGGGGUUUGGAGAUGCUCAUCCAUAUUAUGUGCAGUCCAUUUGUAGGAUUUAUCCUUUAUGUCUCAAAUUUUAUGGUUUGUUCAAAAGUUCUUGAAAAGGAUUUAUCUUC